UACAGAGGGUGCAAGCGUUGUUCGGAAUUAUUGGGCGUAAAGGGCGCGUAGGCGGUGCUGUAAGUCUGUGGUGAGAUCUCUGGGCUCAACUCAGAGUCUGCCAUAGAAACUGCAGUGCUGGAGUGUGGGAGAGGUGAGUGGAAUUCCCGGUGUAGCGGUGAAAUGCGUAGAUAUCAGGAGGAACACCGGCGGCGAAGGCGGCUCUCUGGACCGAUGCUGAC
rnacentral:rRNA from 1 species